rnacentral:rRNA from 1 species
CCUACGGGUGGCAGCAGUGAGGAAUAUUGGUCAAUGGGCGGAAGCCUGAACCAGCCAAGUAGCGUGCAGGAUGACGGCCCUACGGGUUGUAAACUGCUUUUAUACGGGAAUAACGCGCCUUACGUGUAGGGCUUUGCAUGUACCGUAUGAAUAAGGACAGGCUAAUUCCGUGCCAGCAGCCGCGGUAAUACGGAGGGUCCGGGCGUUUUCCGGAUUUAUUGGGUUUAAAGGGGGCGUAGGCCGCAUGUCAAGCGGGCUGUGAAAGGUGCGGGCUCAACCCGGGCCUUGCAGGGGGAACUGGCGGGCUGGAGUCCGCGGAGGGGAGGCGGAAGUCGGGGGGUAGCGGUGAGAUG